rnacentral:rRNA from 1 species
UACGUAGGGGGCGAGCGUUGUCCGGAAUCAUUGGGCGUAAAGCGCGUGUAGGCGGCUUGGUAAGUCUGGUGUGAAAACUUGGGGCUCAACCCCAAGCCUGCACUGGAUACUGCCUCGCUGGAGUCCGGGAGGGGAGAGCGGAAUUCCUAGUGUAGCGGUGAAAUGCGCAGAUAUUAGGAAGAACACCGGUGGCGAAGGCGGCUCUCUGGAACGGUACUGACGCUGAGACGCGAAAGCGUGGGGAGCAAACAGG